rnacentral:rRNA from 1 species
AUUGAACGCUGGCGGCAUGCCUUACACAUGCAAGUCGAACGAGUGGCGAACGGGUGAGUAAUACAUAGGAACGUGCCCUGUAGCGGGGGAUAACUAGUCGAAACAUUAGCUAAUACCUCAUACUAUAGGAUCUGCCCAUGUCUGAUUAGCUAGUUGGUGGGGUAAAGGCUCACCAAGGCGACGAUCCGUAGCUGGUCUGAGAGGACGAUCAGCCACACUGGAACUGAGACACGGCCCAGACGCUUACGGGAGGCAGCAGUGGGGAAUUUUGGACAAUGGGCGAAAGCCUGAUGCAGCAAUGCGGCGUGUGUGAAGAAGGCCUUCGGGUUGUAAAGCACUUUUGUCCGGAAAGCGGUACCGGAAGAAUAAGGACCGGCUAACUACGUGCCAGCAGCCGCGGUAAUAC